AGCCCCAUGGUCUAGCGGUCAAUGACUCGGCCCUCUGGAGGCCGAAGCCCAGGUUCGAAUCCUGGUGGGGCUA
rnacentral:tRNA from 1 species